AGCCAGGUGGCCGAAGUUAGGUGUAGGUCUUUUAAACCUAUUAUAGUAAAUUUUUACUUCUUGCUA
rnacentral:tRNA from 1 species